GACAGAGGAUGCAAGCGUUAUCCGGAAUGAUUGGGCGUAAAGCGUCUGUAGGUGGCUUUUUAAGUCCGCCGUCAAAUCCCAGGGCUCAACCCCUGGACAGGCGGUGGAAACUACCAAGCUGGAGUACGGUAGGGGCAGGAGGGAAUUUCCGGGUUGGAGCGGUGAAAUGACGUAGAGAUCGGAAAGAACACCAACGGCGAAAGCACUCUGCUGGGCCGACACUGACACUGAGAGACGAAAGCUAGGGGAGCGAAUGGG
rnacentral:rRNA from 1 species